rnacentral:lncRNA from 1 species
GUUCCUUUCUUUGUUUCUGCACUGGUUCGGUCCGGUACGGAUCCGUACCGACUCGUACCAUUGGCUAGCCAGCAUGGGUCCCGGUAUCAGCUUCAUGGAUCUUGCUUUCAAACCUUGGCUUUUCUAAAACGCUUUUAGGAAUGUGGAGGGACUGUUGCUAAUAUUAUCACCAUAUUUCUUUUUCCUUCCACAGCCAAGC